rnacentral:rRNA from 1 species
CCGUGAACGCUGGCGGCAGGCCUAACACAUGCAAGUCGAACGGUAGCACAGAGAGCUUGCUCUUGGGUGACGAGUGGCGGACGGGUGAGUAAUGUCUGGGAAACUGCCCGAUGGAGGGGGAUAACUACUGGAAACGGUAGCUAAUACCGCAUAACGUCUUCGGACCAAAGUGGGGGACCUUCGGGCCUCACACCAUCGGAUGUGCCCAGAUGGGAUUAGCUAGUAGGUGGGGUAAUGGCUCACCUAGGCGACGAUCCCUAGCUGGUCUGAGAGGAUGACCAGCCACACUGGAACUGAGACACGGUCCAGACUCCUACGGGAGGCAGCAGUGGGGAAUAUUGCACAAUGGGCGCAAGCCUGAUGCAGCCAUGCCGCGUGUAUGAAGAAGGCCUUCGGGUUGUAAAGUACUUUCAGCGAGGAGGAAGGCAUUAAGGUUAAUAACCUUGGUGAUUGACGUUACUCGCAGAAGAAGCACCGGCUAACUCCGUGCCAGCAGCCGCGGUAAUACGGAGGGUGCAAGCGUUAAUCGGAAUUACUGGGCGUAAAGCGCACGCAGGCGGUCUGUCAAGUCGGAUGUGAAAUCCCCGGGCUCAACCUGGGAACUGCAUUCGAAACUGGCAGGCUAGAGUCUUGUAGAGGGGGGUAGAAUUCCAGGUGUAGCGGUGAAAUGCGUAGAGAUCUGGAGGAAUACCGGUGGCGAAGGCGGCCCCCUGGACAAAGACUGACGCUCAGGUGCGAAAGCGUGGGGAGCAAACAGGAUUAGAUACCCUGGUAGUCCACGCCGUAAACGAUGUCGACUUGGAGGUUGUGCCCUUGAGGCGUGGCUUCCGGAGCUAACGCGUUAAGUCGACCGCCUGGGGAGUACGGCCGCAAGGUUAAAACUCAAAUGAAUUGACGGGGGCCCGCACAAGCGGUGGAGCAUGUGGUUUAAUUCGAUGCAACGCGAAGAACCUUACCUACUCUUGACAUCCAGAGAACUUAGCAGAGAUGCUUUGGUGCCUUCGGGAACUCUGAGACAGGUGCUGCAUGGCUGUCGUCAGCUCGUGUUGUGAAAUGUUGGGUUAAGUCCCGCAACGAGCGCAACCCUUAUCCUUUGUUGCCAGCGGUUCGGCCGGGAACUCAAAGGAGACUGCCAGUGAUAAACUGGAGGAAGGUGGGGAUGACGUCAAGUCAUCAUGGCCCUUACGAGUAGGGCUACACACGUGCUACAAUGGCAUAUACAAAGAGAAGCGACCUCGCGAGAGCAAGCGGACCUCAUAAAGUAUGUCGUAGUCCGGAUUGGAGUCUGCAACUCGACUCCAUGAAGUCGGAAUCGCUAGUAAUCGUAGAUCAGAAUGCUACGGGUGAAUACGUUCCCGGGGCCUUGUACACACCGCCCCGUCACACCCAUGGGGAGUGGGGUUGCAAAAAGAAAGUAGGGUAGCUUUAACCCUUCGGGGAGGGGCGCUUUACCCACUUUUGGUGAUUUCAUGGACUGGGGGGUGAAAGUCGUAACAGGGGG